ACAGGGAUUCCCCUAGUAACGGCGAGUGAAGCGGGAACAGCUCAAAUUUGAAAUCUGGCCCUUGGGUCCGAGUUGUAAUUUGUAGAGGAUGCUUUUGGUGCGGUGCCUUCCGAGUUCCCUGGAACGGGACGCCUUAGAGGGUGAGAGCCCCGUACGGUUGGACGCCUAGCCUCUGUAAAGCUCCUUCGACGAGUCGAGUAGUUUGGGAAUGCUGCUCUAAAUGGGAGGUAUAUUUCUUCUAAAGCUAAAUACUGGCCAGAGACCGAUAGCGCACAAGUAGAGUGAUCGAAAGAUGAAAAGCACUUUGAAAAGAGGGUUAAAUAGCACGUGAAAUUGUUGAAAGGGAAGCGUUUAUCACCAGACUUUUUCUGGGGGGAUCAUCCGGUGUUCUCACCGGUGCACUUCCCCCAGUUGAGGCCAGCAUCGGUUUUCGGAGGGGGAUAAAAGCUUCGGGAAUGUGACUCCCUCGGGAGUGUUAUAGCCCGUUGCAUAAUACCCUUCUGGGGACCGAGGUUCGCGCAUCUGCAAGGAUGCUGGCAUAAUGGUGAUCAACGACCCGUCUUGAAACACGGACCAAGGAGUCGAACAUUUAUGCGAGUGUUUGGGUGUCAAACCCUCACGCGUAAUGAAAGUGAACGGAGGUGAGAGCCCUUACGGGUGCAUCAUCGACCGAUCCUGAUGUCUUCGGAUGGAUUUGAGUAAGAGCAUAACUGUUCGGACCCGAAAGAUGGUGAACUAUGCGUGGAUAGGGUGAAGCCAGGAGAAAUCCUGGUGGAGGCUCGCAGCGGUUCUGACGUGCAAAUCGAUCGUCAAAUCUGCGCAUGGGGGCGAAAGACUAAUCGAACCAUC
rnacentral:rRNA from 1 species